UUCUGCAGCCUGCUUUUUACGGUGGCUAAAAAGGGGCAAAUGGGGGGAGGGGGAUGGCCAGGGACUGAGCAAGGGGCGAAAAAAGACCCGCCGAGCUUCGCCCUGCCUGUGGCCGGGGGCGCGGAGGGAUAAAGGAGCGAUGCGAAGGAGGUUAGCCCCUUGUGGAGCGGAGUUGAGCUGUGGGUGGUGCGGUGGCUGGACGAGGAGGGGCUGGAGAGGCAGCAGAGCGGGUGUCGCGCCCCACAGGCUCCAGCCAGGAUCUUUGUCCCCGCCCGAGGGCCAAACCUUCCCGUCUUAAAGUGUUGUCACCCUGCUUCGCAGCGUAACGCUGAUACACACCCCCCGAGCGCUACGCGUGUUAAUGAAGCAGGUGAUGUCUCGGAACGGGUCAGGCUCAAGGCUUUGUCCCGUCCCUCGCCUAGGCUGCAAGCAGGCAGCACUUUAACAACCUGUCUCGUGUAUUGAUUGCUGGUUUCCCCCGCUUGAAAACCUACUGGCUUUUGAGGUUGGGCUCAAAGGCAGAGGAAGUUUUGGGAAUGCCCAUAUUACAAAGCCUAAGUGCCUUCAUUGUACUGUACUUCAUCAGCAGAUUGAAGAAAUAUGUAGAAUGACCUGGCUGGAGGGCCAAGGCACGAAGAUGGAGUUACUGUGAGAGAGAGCGGCAAUAGAACAUAUAGCAAGAAGCAGAAGGGGGCAUUGGAACUGAAGAGAGCUGAUUCCCAGACUGACCAGGAGGAGGUACCACCUGCGGUAAUUGGACCCCAGGACGCUCACUUUUACUACUUUUUUGAGGAUUUCAAGCUCUCGGGCAGGACAUAUUGGAAAUGUUACAUAGUAUCUUGGUGCGAUGCUGUGGUACCAUUUUGUAAUGUAAGAUUAACUACAAGAGAAUGAUAAUCAUAUCAAACCAUUGUAUUAUACAGCAUUACUAGAUCUGAGGCUGACUGAUUUUAGAGGAACUCUUAAUGCAGUGUCAGAAUACGUCCUGUCCAAAAAAGGCAGAUUCAUGCUGUCCCCCUUUUCUGCCAGUGGUUUAAAUAGUAUGAAGGUAGAUGGGCUCAGGAGAGAGAGCCAUCAAGAUGUGUUCUCCUUCAGUGAAUAGAAAAGAGUCUUGAAGGCAGACAGUCCACAGCCUUCUUUCUUGCCAUCACACCUAUCUUGAGGUGGAAGCCACCACAAGGGAGUUGUGCUCAGGAAAAGACCACCAAAUAGUGUUUAAAUUCAGUAGGUACGCUUGUUUGUUCAACCAGAGGGGACAAGAGAAAACAAGGAGCCUUUCCUGUAGCGAGCCUGGCACUGAAAGGAAGACUCUUAAAACACACACUUUAAUAGAAGUGUUGUAUAUUUUCAUUUUUAAGAAACUACCACUCUAAUUCCAACUCCAUCAAAAGAGUCAGGAAAGAGGAUGAUCCUGUUUUACCAACACCUAAUGAUGCUGA